rnacentral:tRNA from 1 species
GGGGCAUUCCGAGAAUUGGGGACCUCUCGCACCCUAAGCGAGAAUCAUACCACUAGACCAAAUGCCC